GCUAAUUUAGCGUAGCGGUAACGCGUUGUGCUUCAAGCUGGAAUGAUUUUAGCAUCGUGAGUUCGAAUCCCGCAGUCGGCG
rfam:Crassostrea gigas strain 05x7-T-G4-1.051#20 contig8987, whole genome shotgun sequence.